AGUGGAAUAGCUGGGUCAUAUAGUAACUCUAUAUUUAAAUUUUUGAGGAACUGCUAAACUGUUUUCUAAAAUAACUGUACUAUUUUGCAUUCUCACCAGCAAU
rnacentral:pre_miRNA from 2 species